UACAGAGGGGGCAAGCGUUAUUCGGAAUUAUUGGGCGUAAAGGGCGCGUAGGCGGCCAACUAAGUCGGACGUGAAAUCCCUCAGCUUAACUGGGGAACUGCGUCCGAUACUGGAUGGCUUGAGUUUGGGAGAGGGAUGCGGAAUUCCAGGUGUAGCGGUGAAAUGCGUAGAUAUCUGGAGGAACACCGGUGGCGAAGGCGGCAUCCUGGACCAACACUGACACUGAUGAGCGAAAGCCAGGGGAGCAAACGGG
rnacentral:rRNA from 1 species